ACAGUAUAUAAGAGUUUGAUCAUGGCUCAGGACGAACGCUGGCGGCGUGCUUAACACAUGCAAGUCGAACGGUGAAGCCUUCGGGUGGAUCAGUGGCGGACGGGUGAGUAACACGUGGGCAAUCUGCCCUGCAUUCUGGGACAAGCCCUGGAAACGGGGUCUAAUACCGGAUACGACCUGUCCCCGCAUGGGCUGGGGUGGGUAAGGCAUCCGGCGAUGCAGGAUGAGCCCGCGGCCUAUCAGCUUGUUGGUGGGGUGAUGGCCUACCAAGGCGACGACGGGUAGCCGGCCUGAGAGGGCGACCGGCCACACUGGGACUGAGACACGGCCCAGACUCCUACGGGAGGCAGCAGUGGGGAAUAUUGCACAAUGGGCGAAAGCCUGAUGCAGCGACGCCGCGUGAGGGAUGACGGCCUUCGGGUUGUAAACCUCUUUCAGCAGGGAAGAAGCGAAAGUGACGGUACCUGCAGAAGAAGCACCGGCUAACUACGUGCCAGCAGCCGCGGUAAU
rnacentral:rRNA from 1 species